rnacentral:lncRNA from 1 species
CUGGCGCGGCUCUCCAUUAGCCAGUGAGGUCCAGGGUCACGCCGAGAGGCCGGAGGGGACUCCAGGAAGCCUCGAGAAGACGGCCCCGGGCCGCGGCCACUUCUCCGCGGGGAAGUGGACACCUACUUUGCGACCCGGCUUGCGCGGAGCCCCCUCCGGGGUCGCGAGCGUGGGGGAAAAUAACAGAAUGCGGAAUCUCAACAGUUGUUUUAAUGGUGGCUAGUUCGUCCCGUUCCAGAAGGCACAAUCCUUCGCCAUGGGAUUUUGCUGCUCCCAUCCAGACGUGGAAUCUCUUCUCCACCCCCUGUAAUGCGGGCUGGCUUUUGUGACUGACUUUGACAAAUUUGAUAUAGUGGAACUGAUGUUUUCUAGUUCUGGAAUUGAGGCCUCAAGAAGCUUUGUGGCUGCCACCUUUGUCCUCUUGGAACGCCAUGCCACGCAGAAGCCCGGGAUGAAAGGUCAGGAGGAAGACGGAGGGACGCAGCUGUCUCUGCUGUUCCGAGUCCAGCUCCCCGCACCCCACUGAAUGCCGUCACACACAUGAGCCCAGGCAAAGUUGGCACAAAAAGCACACAGCCAACAGAGUCAUGAAAAAUAAAAAAAAA